UAGGGAAUCUUCCGCAAUGGACGAAAGUCUGACGGAGCAACGCCGCGUGAACGAAGAAGGCCUUCGGGUCGUAAAGUUCUGUUGUUAGGGAAGAACAAGUACCAGAGUAACUGCUGGUACCUUGACGGUACCUAACCAGAAAGCCACGGCUAACUACGUGCCAGCAGCCGCGGUAAUACGUAGGUGGCAAGCGUUGUCCGGAAUUAUUGGGCGUAAAGCGCGCGCAGGUGGUUCCUUAAGUCUGAUGUGAAAGCCCACGGCUCAACCGUGGAGGGUCAUUGGAAACUGGGGAACUUGAGUGCAGAAGAGGAAAGUGGAAUUCCAAGUGUAGCGGUGAAAUGCGUAGAGAUUUGGAGGAACACCAGUGGCGAAGGCGACUUUCUGGUCUGUAACUGACACUGAGGCGCGAAAGCGUGGGGAGCAAACAGG
rnacentral:rRNA from 2 species